ACAAGAUGAAGUUUAAACAUUGCGAAAUUAGCAAAAAUCUCUUGACUCGUCAGAGGGCUGUAUUUAAAAGCAAAAGACGAGGAGAAAGCCAACGUGCUAUCGACAAUCGCUUGACUUGCCAGCGAGCCUUAUGUAAUCGAGGAAAAAGGCAAGGAGAUUACCAGCGUGUUAUCGACACAGACCUUGUUCACGGGUCUAGCACAACGGUGCAAAAUCGUGUUCAAUUGAGAGAGAAACUAUCGAGAACUUAUCAAGAAUCCAUCGAGAACUUAUUAGAAACUAUCGAGAACUUAUCUGAAACUAGCGUAACUUUAUAUGACAAACAAUUAGCCACAUGUGCAACGCUUGUUUGUGUACAUGAAAGUCAAGAUGACUUUGGCAAUAUAAAGUCAAAGGUCAAUGAGACUUCUCACAAUCAUUUCAUUACUUCACCACCAGAAAGCAAUCAUACAAUUUAUGCAAAUAUACAAAGUCGACGGUUAUUUACAUUAUCAGUACAAACUCAGUGUGUUGCGUUCAGUCGAAGUAGAUCACGAACAAGAAGCCAUUUAAUACAUGCGAAAAUGCGUGAUCGAGAACCAUCUAGAAUUCCAAUGAAAAAGUUGGUUCAUUUAAUGAGCAAAAACAAGAAAAGAAGGCGUAAAAUAAAAAGCUUAAUAAAGCAGUUAAUUCCUAAGUCAUCGUCUUGGCACAAUUUGCUGUCUACCAGAUACCGUAAACAUGUCAUUCAGAAAGACAGAAAUGCAAACAUGUGGCGAUUUAGGAAGCUAUAUAGUGCUAUAAAAAAAAUACAAAACCUCGCAAAGAAAAAAACUGUGAAGGGAAGUUUGAAAAUUACUAAUAAGCGUACUUGCAGAACAAGAAAACACAAAUUGUUUAAAUUAAAUAACGUUAAAAUUCUAAACUCAAAUAAAUGUAACACGCAAAGAAUAAAAACAACUGACAAGCGUUUCUUAUUUUUAUGUGGUGAUAUUGAGCUAAAUCCAGGUCCCUUAAAUGCUUUAAAUAGAUGCAUGUCAAUUUUGACUGCAAGACUAGCUCACAUAGCACGAAGGCCAGUAAAUAUUGUCGGUGAUGGUAAUUGCUUCUUUCGUACUGUAAGCCACCGACUUUAUGGAACAGAAGAUCGUCAUAUAUGCACAAAUACGAGCUCUUGCAAUUCAACAUUUAAUAAACUGUCCAGAACAUUUCGUGGAAUAUAAUACUGAUCAAUCGUGGUUGCAUUAUUUACAGAAUAUGUCACGAUUAGGUACAUGGGCAGAUCAUAUUAUUAUACAGUCAGUUGCUAAUAUAAACAACUUACGAAUUCAUAUCACGGAAAGUGCAUCAAAUUUUUCUGAGUCAACAGUAGUAAGCUCUGUUUAUGCUGAGUCUGGGGGGAACGUAAGAGAUAUUUACAUCGGACAUCUUGAUGAAUUGCAUUAUGUGUCAACUGCGCCUAUCGUACAGUCUGCACAAAUAAAUCAGAUAACAAGUGAUAAACCAAAAGCAAAGUCACCAAAUUUACAAUCUAAUAAAACUAUUUCAAAAGAAACUGCCUCAAUGAAAAACUUGGAAGAAAGGAAAGAAUAUAUGAAAAAAUAUAUGAAAGAAAGAAGAAAGGAUAGCAAAUUUUAAAAAAAAGAAAUUGGAAGAAAAAAGUUGUAUAAUAAAAACUACAAAAAUUCAAAUCCUGAUAAAGUUAAGGAAUCUUGGCAAAAAGCCUCUGAAACAUACAGAAAAUCAAAUCCUGAAAAGGUAAAGCAAUCAUCUAAGGCGGCCACUGCAACUUACAUGCAUGCUAAUCUUGAGAAAGUUAAAGAAUCUAGAAAGAGAGGGACAGCGUUAUACAGAAAAUCAAAUCCUGAAAAAGUAAGACAAUCAUCUAAGGCAGCCACUGCAACUUACAGAAAAUCAAAUCCUGAAAAGGUUAAAAAAUCUUAUAUCAAAGCCACUGCCACAUACCGGCAGUCAAAUCCAGAAAAAGUUGCAGAAUCAUUUAA
rnacentral:lncRNA from 1 species